rnacentral:misc_RNA from 1 species
GUGAAUCAUCGAAUUUUUGAACGCAAAUUGCACUCUUUUCGGAGAGUAUGCCCGUUUGUGGGUCAGUCUAUAAAAAAUCGACAUCGUUGUUGUUUCGUGGUGGCGUUCGUCGGUAAUUGGGACAAAUUAAAUCAUUAUGGUUUUUAAGAGCCUUAAAAUUUUCUUUUUGGUUCAAUGAACGUUUCUAAGAUUUAUUUCUUUACACGUUUAAGGUAUCGAUUUUUAUUAGACGUGAUUAUCAUAUCGGAUCGUGUUCAUAAUCUUUCAUUAACUGACUUCAGA